rnacentral:rRNA from 1 species
ACGGUACCUGGAGAAGAAGCACCGGCUAACUACGUGCCAGCAGCCGCGGUAAUACGUAGGGUGCGAGCGUUAAUCGGAAUUACUGGGCGUAAAGCGUGCGCAGGCGGUUUGGUAAGUCAGAUGUGAAAUCCCCGGGCUCAACCUGGGAACUGCAUUUGAGACUGCCAAGCUGGAGUUUGGCAGAGGGGGGUGGAAUUCCACGUGUAGCAGUGAAAUGCGUAGAGAUGUGGAGGAACACCGAUGGCGAAGGCAGCCCCCUGGGCCAAUACUGACGCUCAUGCACGAAAGCGUGGGGAGCAAACAGGAUUAGAUACCCUGGUAGUCCACGCCCUAAACGAUGUCAACUAGGUGUUGGGAGGGUUAAACCUUUUAGUGCCGUAGCUAACGCGUGAAGUUGACCGCCUGGGGAGUACGGCCGCAAGGCUAAAACUCAAAGGAAUUGACGGGGACCCGCACAAGCGGUGGAUGAUGUGGAUUAAUUCGAUGCAACGCGAAAAACCUUACCUACCCUUGACAUGUCAGGAAUCCCGGAGAGAUUUGGGAGUGCUCGAAAG